AUUGAACGCUGGCGGCAGGCCUAACACAUGCAAGUCGAGCGGAUGAAGGGAGCUUGCUCCUGGAUUCAGCGGCGGACGGGUGAGUAAUGCCUAGGAAUCUGCCUGGUAGUGGGGGAUAACGUCCGGAAACGGGCGCUAAUACCGCAUACGUCCUGAGGGAGAAAGUGGGGGAUCUUCGGACCUCACGCUAUCAGAUGAGCCUAGGUCGGAUUAGCUAGUUGGUGGGGUAAAGGCCUACCAAGGCGACGAUCCGUAACUGGUCUGAGAGGAUGAUCAGUCACACUGGAACUGAGACACGGUCCAGACUCCUACGGGAGGCAGCAGUGGGGAAUAUUGGACAAUGGGCGAAAGCCUGAUCCAGCCAUGCCGCGGGUGUGAAGAAGGUCUUCGGAUUGUAAAGCACUUUAAGUUGGGAGGAAGGGCAGUAAGUUAAUACCUUGCUGUUUUGACGUUCCAACAGAAUAAGCACCGGCUAACUUCGUG
rnacentral:rRNA from 1 species